GGAUGAACGCUGGCGGCGUGCCUACUCCAUGCAAGUCGAGCGAACGGACGAGAAGCUUGCUUUUCUGAUGUUAGCGGCGGACGGGUGAGUAACACGUGGAUAACCUACCUAUAAGACUGGGAUAACUUCGGGAAACCGGAGCUAAUACCGGAUAAUAUUUUGAACCGCAUGGUUCAAAAGUGAAAGACGGUCUUGCUGUCACUUAUAGAUGGAUCCGCGCUGCAUUAGCUAGUUGGUAAGGUAACGGCUUACCAAGGCAACGAUGCAUAGCCGACCUGAGAGGGUGAUCGGCCACACUGGAACUGAGACACGGUCCAGACUCCUACGGGAGGCAGCAGUAGGGAAUCUUCCGCAAUGGGCGAAAGCCUGACGGAGCAACGCCGCGUGAGUGAUGAAGGUCUUCGGAUCGUAAAACUCUGUUAUUAGGGAAGAACAUAUGUGUAAGUAACUGUGCACAUCUUGACGGUACCUAAUCAGAAAGCCACGGCUAACUACGUG
rnacentral:rRNA from 1 species